rnacentral:RNase_P_RNA from 1 species
GACAUCGGCUAACAGUCUGCUAAUUAUUUUAGUAGAGGAAAGUCCACGCUAAGCACAAUCUGCGAUGAUUGUAGUGUUCAAUGCUGAUUCUAAUAAAAUCAGGCUUAGACGACUAAGUGCCACAGAGACGAGAAUAGUGAAACGGGUAAACUCCAUGAGCUAGAAACCCAAAUUUUGGUAGGGGAACUUUCUGAUGAUAAAUGAAUCUAGGAAAGAAUCAAGUUAACCUUGAUUAGAUAAAUUGUUAGCGCCUUACAUAUAGUAUGGAACAGAACGUGGCUUAUAGAU